CGCCUCUUGCUAACAAAGGAAGUACUAGAGGUCCCGCCUGCCCUGUGACCACAAAGUUUAACGGCCGCGGUAUCCUGACCGUGCGAAGGUAGCGUAAUCAUUUGUCUUUUAAAUAGAGACCUGUAUGAAUGGCAUAACGAGGGUUUAACUGUCUCCUUCCCCUAGUCAAUGAAAUUGAUCUGCCCGUGCAGAAGCGGACAUAAACACAUAAGACGAGAAGACCCUAUGGAGCUUUAGACAAAAGAUCAAACAUGUAAAGAAACCAAACCAACCAAAAGGAACACGAAGGCCACAAAACCCAACGUAAACUGAUCUAAAUGUCUUCGGUUGGGGCGACCAUGGGGGAAAGAAAAGCCCCCACGAGGAACAGGGACAACCCCUAAACUAAGAGAGACACCUCUAAGCA
rnacentral:rRNA from 1 species